rnacentral:lncRNA from 1 species
CUGAUGGGCCGCGAUGGGCACUCGGUACCUUACUCAACCAAGUACCAACGUAACGUAUCUUUAUUAUUACAUCAUCAUAUACACGUGACAUACAGGCCUAAUAGGUCAACAUAAUCAUUUAUAAACUCAAAACAUAGGCUGACAAGGUCGUACAAUAUUUCACGUACACGACAUAUGUCUACAAGCCUCUAAGAGUACAUAAAUUUCAUAAAGGUCGGGACAGAGUCCCACCAUACCAAACAAUACAUGUCCAAAUCAUACUAACCAAACAAGAAACUCCGAAGCAAAUGGAGUGAACCAACAUCUUCCGCUGAUCUGAUAGCCUACUUGGAGGGCUCUCGAGUUGUCUAUCGAAACCUGCGGGCAUGAAACACAGUGUCCCCAGGCAAAAGGGACGUUAGUGCAAAAAAUGUACCGAGUAUGUAAGGCACAUAAAUAAGUACAUACCAGACAUGUAAGAAAUAUGGAGUACAUAACUCAACCUAUAAGUCUAAAUAACUUUGUAAAUCAAAAAAUAAUUAUAGUAUCACGCAUAUGCGUAUGAAUGUCAUGUCGUGCAUAGGUACAUGUUUCAUAACAUCACCAGUCUUUGAGGGCAUCCCAUCAUAUAAUCUCAGCCACUGUGGGCAAAAUCAUCAACGUAUACCAACUGAUCAGGUGGUGGUGCGUAUAUAAUGUCAUAACCUUUUCCCAUAUUGAUGUACAUAUAUAUACAUACAUAUAUACGCGUAUAUAACGCCAUCUGGUCAUGGGUCAAUGUACAUGAAUGCAAUGCAUGAAAAGUAUGUUAAUAAAAGCAUUCGGAAUGUCAUAAGACCAUUUUGCCUUUGAGUAAUAUCAUAAAGUAAACUCUUUUCUAGUUUCGUAUUUUUUUAGAACCAUGAACAAAUGAUAAAAUAUUAUGACACAUGGAAACUCAAGAACAUAGAUAUCUUUAAUACUUCUAUGAAUUGAGUCAUUUAUGGUAUUUGUGCAUUUGCACGUUUCGUUCAUAUCAUAUGGAUCAUGCCAAAAGAAAGAAGGGAGAGCCUUAACAUACCUGAACCAAUUCUCUUUUGCGAAAAGACAUAGCGGCGGAUCGAAUUAGGAAAAUAAAUCCGUAUGAUAUCCUUGGGAAAAAUUGUACCAGGCUUUCUUUUAAUUAGCAUUUCAUGUAAGACCUUGUAUCAUUUGAAAGAAUUUCACAUUUGGACAUUGCAGCAUCUAAGAGAAUUUUUACCUUUGGACAUGGUAUCAUUUAAGAGAGUUUCACAUUUGGACAUUUUAUGGUUCCAGGGAGUUUUCACGUUUUUGAUCUUUGUUAUCUCUUUGUAAUGGUAUAUAAAUGU